rnacentral:snoRNA from 1 species
GAGCUGUGAUGAAUCUUGUGAAUUUGUGAUGGUUAGGGUCUAUCACUACCGUCUGAUUCUUCGGACGAAAAAUACUCACAUCUGAGCUC